rnacentral:rRNA from 1 species
CCAGACUCCUACGGGAGGCAGCAGUGAGGAAUAUUGGUCAAUGGUCGGGAGACUGAACCAGCCAAGCCGCGUGAGGGAGGAAGGUACAGAGUAUCGUAAACCUCUUUUGUCAGGGAACAAAGGCGGGGACGUGUCCCCGGAUGAGUGUACCUGAAGAAAAAGCAUCGGCUAACUCCGUGCCAGCAGCCGCGGUAAUACGGAGGAUGCGAGCGUUAUCCGGAUUUACUGGGUGUAAAGGGAGCGUAGACGGCGAGGUAAGCCUGAAGUGGAAGCCCGCGGCCCAACCGCGGAACUGCUUUGGAAACUGUUUUGCUGGAGUAUGGGAGGGGUAAGCGGAAUUCCUGGUGUAGCGGUGAAAUGCGUAGAUAUCAGGAGGAACACCGGUGGCGAAGGCGGCUUACUGGACCAUAACUGACGUUGAGGCUCGAAAGCGUGGGGAGCAAACAGGAUUAGAUACCCGAGUA